rnacentral:rRNA from 1 species
CAGCAGUCGCCGCGGGAACACGUAGGGUGCAAGCGUUAAUCGGAAUUACUGGGCGUAAAGCGUGCGCAGGCGGUUUGUUAAGACAGAUGUGAAAUCCCCGGGCUCAACCUGGGAACUGCAUUUGUGACUGGCAAGCUAGAGUGUGGCAGAGGGGGGUGGAAUUCCGCGUGUAGCAGUGAAAUGCGUAGAUAUGCGGAGGAACACCGAUGGCGAAGGCAGCCCCCUGGGCCAACACUGACGCUCAUGCACGAAAGCGUGGGGAGCAAACAGGAUUAGAUACCCCCGUAGUCCCUGUCUCUUAUAC